GGUUUCGUGGCCCAAUGGCAAGGCGUCUGACUACGAUUCUUCUCUCUCUCUCUACCAGAAGAUGUAAUCAGGAGAUUCUGGGUUCGACCCCCAGCGAGAUCA